rnacentral:rRNA from 1 species
UACGUAGGGUGCGAGCGUUGUCCGGAAUUAUUGGGCGUAAAGGGCUCGUAGGCGGUUUGUCGCGUCGGGGAGUGAAAACCAGGUGCUUAACACCUGGCUUGCUUUCGAUACGGGCAGACUAGAGGUAUGCAGGGGAGAACGGAAUUCCUGGUGUAGCGGUGAAAUGCGCAGAUAUCAGGAGGAACACCGGUGGCGAAGGCGGUUCUCUGGGCAUGACCUGACGCUGAGGAGCGAAAGUGUGGGGGAGCGAACAGG